rnacentral:rRNA from 1 species
GACGAACGCUGGCGGCGUGCUUAACACAUGCAAGUCGAACGGUGAACGAGGGAGCUUGCUCCCUCCGGAUCAGCGGCGAACGGGUGAGUAACACGUGAGCAACCUCCCCCGAACUCUGGGAUAAGCUUGGGAAACGGCGUCUAAUACCGGAUACGACGUGGGAGGGCAUCCUCCCCGCGUGAAAAAACUUUCGGUUGGGAUUGAGCGCGGGCCCCACCCCUUUUUGGGGAGGUGACCGGCAACCAAGGCGCCGGCGGGCAGCCGGCCCGCGGGGGUGGCCGGGCACCCUGGGACUGAGGCACGGCCCAGGAUCCUACGGGGGGGAACGGGGGGGAAUAUUGCGCAAUGGGCGCAAGCCUGAUGCAGCAACGCCGCGUGGGGGACGACGGCCUUCGGGUUGUAAACCUCUUUUAGCAGGGAAGAAGCGAAAGUGACGGUACCUGCAGAAAAAGCACCGGCUAACUACGUG